CAAGCGGUGGAGCAUGUGGUUAAUUCGACGCAACGCGAAGAACCUUACCAGGGCUUGACAUCCCCUGACCGCGUAUGAAAGUACGUUUUCACCCUCGGGUGACAGGGAGACAGGUGGUGCAUGGUUGUCGUCAGCUCGUGUCGUGAGAUGUUGGGUUAAGUCCCGCAACGAGCGCAACCCCUACGUUUAGUUGCUAACAGGUGAAGCUGAGCACUCUAGACGAACUGCCGUUGACAAAACGGAGGAAGGUGGGGAUGACGUCAAAUCAUCAUGCCCCUUAUGUUCUGGGCUACACACGUGCUACAAUGGCCGGUACAGACGGACGCAAAGCCGCGAGGUGGAGCAAAUCCUAAAAAGCCGGUCUCAGUUCGGAUUACAGGCUGCAAUUCGCCUGCAUGAAGUCGGAAUCGCUAGUAAUCGCAGGUCAGCAUACUGCGGUCGAAUACGUUCCCGGGCCUU
rnacentral:rRNA from 1 species